ACAAGCGGCCAUAGGGAUUUGGUAUACCUGUACCCAUUUCGAACACAGAAGUCAAGCAAAUCUCCGAUUUAAGUUGUACUGUUUUCAAGAACGGGAAGCUUAAAUAGCUGCUACCU
rnacentral:rRNA from 1 species